rnacentral:rRNA from 1 species
ACUGCUCAGUAACACGUGGAUAACCUGCCCUUGGGUCCGGCAUAACCCCGGGAAACUGGGGAUAAUUCCGGAUAACGCACAUAUGCUGGAAUGCUUUAUGCGUAAAAUGGAUUCGUCUGCCCAAGGAUGGGUCUGCGGCCUAUCAGGUAGUAGUGGGUGUAAUGUACCUACUAGCCAACAACGGGUACGGGUUGUGAGAGCAAGAGCCCGGAGAUGGAUUCUGAGACAUGAAUCCAGGCCCUACGGGGCGCAGCAGGCGCGAAAACUUUACAAUGCGGGAAACCGUGAUAAGGGGACACCGAGUGCCAGCAUCAUAUGCUGGCUGUUCGGGUGUGUAAAAUACACCUGUCAGCAAGGGCCGGGCAAGACCGGUGCCAGCCGCCGCGGUAACACCGGCGGCCCGAGUGGUGAUCGUGAUUAUUGGGUCUAAAGGGUCCGUAGCCGGUUUGGUCAGUCCUCCGGGAAAUCUGACGGCUCAACCGUUAGGCUUUCGGGGGAUACUGCCAGGCUUGGAACCGGGAGAGGUAAGAGGUACUACAGGGGUAGGAGUGAAAUCUUGUAAUCCCUGUGGGACCACCUGUGGCGAAGGCGUCUUACCAGAACGGGUUCGACGGUGAGGGACGAAAGCUGGGGGCACGAACCGGAUUAGAUACCCGGGUAGUCCCAGCCGUAAACGAUGCUCGCUAGGUGUCAGGCAUGGCGCGACCGUGUCUGGUGCCGCAGGGAAGCCGUGAAGCGAGCCACCUGGGAAGUACGGCCGCAAGGUUGAAACUUAAAGGAAUUGGCGGGGGAGCAC